rnacentral:lncRNA from 1 species
GAACUGCUACUUGGGAAGGAGAGGAUUUUAAUGCUAGAAAGGCUACCCAUUGUUAAGGGGGGGAAAGUGACCUUGGGGGAAAAAAAGAGAACAAGAACACAACCUGAAUGAUCAGAAAGAGAAAGCAGGUUAAUAGCAGAAAGUUUAAAACCUGUCUGAAGAAAACAAAAUGGCAUCUAGAUCCAUCCUGAGAGUGUGUGCUGAUACAAGGUUCCUGGGACCACAUUUGUAAACAUUGUCAAGGGCUGGUAGUCGAGGCGUGGAUAUCCAUUGAUGGUGUGCUGCAGCCUUUUAGUUGUGUGUUUUACAACGACAUAUUCCAAGUCUGGAAACUUCUGUAAUAAGUAAUUACAACGAAGGUGUGAAUUUCAACCUGUACCCUUUCAUCUUCCUAUAAAAAGGGGAUUUAAACAGACACGGGUAGGUGUGAAGCUAGCUAGUCUUCUGUUAGGUGUCAGCCAUCUGCUGGUGAAGCCAAGAUUAGAACAGGUCACAGGAAAAUCACCUAUUGAGUUAAGUAGAUAACAGUGAGUCUCCUGUUUAGCAAUCCAAAAACACGAAACAGAGUCAUGCAGGACUGAGCUUCAAACCAUGAUUCGAAGGGAUUGGAUUACUCUGAAGGGAGACUGAAGACCAAAAUACUUAUGUGUGUGUGUGUGUGUGUGUGUGUGUGUGUGUGUGUGCGUGCGCGUGUAUGCACACACACACACACACACACACACACACACACACAUAUGUAUAUAUAUGUAUGUAUAUUUAAGGCCCUACACUUCAUUUUUAGACAGCUUACCAAACAUAAUUUGUAUGGAAAAAAGAAAGAACUGAAGGAUGAAAGAAGCCAACUCUGGGACAAAUUCAAAACCGGGCCAUUGCUUACUGAAGAAACCAGGAGGACACGAGCUGACAAAUUGGCAUUCAACAAAUUCUUGGCAUGAAGCUUGAAAACAGUGGGAAACAGUAUCAGGCUUUCAACUCAAAGAGCCCCAUGGGGUCGAGCCAAGCCAUGUUUGCUUGAAUGGAGAGGAAGAAUGAAUGACACAUAAGAGAACUUCAGAAACUAGCUAGCCCUUGGGUCAUGCAGCUGAUCAGGAUGCCACUCAAUGGGCAUUGUUCACAGCCAUCUUUAUAAAUGAUAUCGCUUGAGUGAACUCAAAGAAACAAAGGCGGGUGAGUUAGUCCAAAUGUGUAUCUUUGUUAACUGAAGGUCGACUCACAAGGGCCAGCAAUGUACUUGCUUAGGGAUCAACAUGUGGUUUCUGAAUUUCAGCCCAAUUAGGUCAACGUAGCCUGUACAUGGCAUUCUGCUGCAGGCCUGGGCUGGUGACUCAUCCCACGGUUGCUAGCAGCAUUGGCUUUUAAGGACUGACA